rnacentral:rRNA from 1 species
UACGUAGGUCCCGAGCGUUGUCCGGAUUUAUUGGGCGUAAAGCGAGCGCAGGUGGUUUAUUAAGUCUGGUGUAAAAGGCAGUGGCUCAACCAUUGUAUGCAUUGGGAACUGGUAGACUUGAGUGCAGGAGAGGAGAGUGGAAUUCCAUGUGUAGCGGUGAAAUGCGUAGAUAUACGGAGGAACACCGGUGGCGAAAGCGGCUCUCUGGCCUGUAACUGACACUGAGGCUCGAAAGCGUGGGGAGCAAACAGG